rnacentral:rRNA from 1 species
GUUCGUUACGUCGGAUGUGAAAAUCUGGGGCUCAACCCCAGACCUGCAUCCGAUACGGGCGAGCUAGAGUUUGGUAGGGGAGACUGGAAUUCCUGGUGUAGCGGUGGAAUGCGCAGAUAUCAGGAGGAACACCAAUGGCGAAGGCAGGUCUCUGGGCCAAUACUGACACUGAGGAGCGAAAGCGUGGGGAGCGAACAGGAUUAGAUACCCUGGUAGUCCACGCCGUAAACGGUGGGCGCUAGUUGUGGGAACCUUCCACGGUUUCUGCGACGCAGCUAACGCAUUAAGCGCCCCGCCUGGGGAGUACGAUCGCAAGAUUAAAACUCAAAGGAAUUGACGGGGCCCCGCACAAGCAGCGGAGCAUGCGGCUUAAUUCGACGCAACGCGAAGAACCUUACCAAGGCUUGACAUAUACAGGAAUAUGGCAGAGAUGUCAUAGCGGUAAAACGUCUGUAUACAGGUGGUGCAUGGUUGUCGUCAGCUCGUGUCGUGAGAUGUUGGGUUAAGUCCCGCAACGAGCGCAACCCUCGUUCUGUGUUGCCAGCAUUUAGUUGGGGACUCACAGGAGACUGCCGGGGUUAACUCGGAGGAAGGUGGGGAUGACGUCAAAUCGUCAUGCCCCUUAUGUCUUGGGCUGCACGCAUGCUACAAUGGCUGGUACAAAGGGCUGCAAUACUGCAAAGUGGAGCGAAUCCCAAAAAGCCAGUCUCAGUUCGGAUUGGGGUCUGCAACUCGACCCCAUGAAGUCGGAGU